GCGGGAGUCGGUCAACGGCAGGCCGCCAGGACGCCAAUCUGGAGACCGCGGUUCGACUCCGCGCUCCCGCA
rnacentral:tRNA from 1 species